rnacentral:lncRNA from 1 species
AUGAUCAGACACCCGUUACUUUUAGUGAUGUGGGUAAAUUUGAAGAGAUUCUGGGACGUGGUGUUUUACAGAACAACCCAUGGCAGGCCUCUCUCACACUUUGAGACGACUUUUGCAGAUCGUUCCAGACCUCUGUUCUUAUUUUUACUGCAGAAUCAUUACUAUGGGAUAAAAAAUCUGAAAGCAUUUCUGGGCACUGGAUUUUUCUGCAAUUAUUGCUACAAAGGAUUUAACUGCUCCUAUGUGCACAGUUGUAAAGGUUACUGCCAGGUUUGCAACGACCCCAUCUGCCCCAUGCAGCCGCUCAAACCUGUGGAAUGUUCAGAUUGUCAUAGAAAGUGCCGUUCGCUUUCCUGUUUCGCCAGACAUAAAGAGGUAAAACCUAGCGCUAUGAACAUGCGACCGUUUAUCCUUUGUGAUCAGGUGAAAAAAUGUCAAAAGUGCAAGCUGUGUUACUACGUCAACAUGACCGAUGGUAAGAAGGUGCAUCGUUGUGUCACCCCAAAGUGCAAAAUCUGUGGGGGUAAAUUACCGACUGAUGCUAAAACACAUUUGUGCUACAUUCAACCCCGUCUCAAGGAGACAGAGCAUCCUGAUCUGAUCUUUUAUGACUUUGAAACCUUUGUGGGUAAGAAAGGUGAGCAUGUACCCUUUCUAGUGUGUGCAAAGACAUUGGCAGGUGUGGAGAAAGUGUUUUACGGGGCAGAGUGUGUUAAACGUUUUCUCUUGCAUUUCAGGAGCAACCAAUACAGGGGAAAUGUUUUUUUAGCGCAUAAUUCUAGAGGUUUUGACAGCUACCUGAUCCUACAGGGUAUGCUGAAAGAGGGUGUAGCACUGCAGCAGAUUCUCAUGACGGGGAGUAAAAUUCUCAGUUUUGAGGAGCCUGAUUACCAACUUAAAUUCAUAGACUCCCUCUCUUUCCUGCCUAUGCGUCUUAGCGCUAUGCCCAAAGCCUUAGGCUUUACUGACCAGUCCAAGGGGUAUUUCCCGCACAAAUUCAGCUCUGAGACACAGCUUAGGUAUGUUGGGCCCUUCCCGCCCCCCUCUGCCUAUGGUGUGGAACGCAUGGGGGAGCGUGAGCUGGAAGAGUUUAACAAAUGGUACACAGAAGCCUGUCAGGGUACCUUUAACUUUAGGGAGGAAGCUCUGCACUAUUGUAAAAAUGAUGUUGACAUUCUCUCCAAGGGUUGUGUUAAAUUCAGAGACCAUUUUCUGAGUGAGGCUGGUGUGGACCCCUUCAACUCCAUAACCAUAGCUUCAGCCUGCAUGAAGGUGUUUGUCACCAACUACCUGCCCCCUGAAACACUCGCUGUGCCAUGCCCUAACAACUACAUGCAGCAGUGUAAAAGAUUCUCCACAGCAUCGAUUCAGUGGUUAGAGUGGGUAAUGUACACACAAAAAAUCUUCAUACAGCAUGCUCUAAACAGGGGGGAGAAACAGAUUGGCCCCUACACGGUAGAUGGGUACGCUGAGAUUGAUGGUGUAAAACAUGUCUGGGAAUUUCACGGUUGUUUUUAUCACGGUUGUCCUCGGUGUUUUAGUCCUACAGGAACAUGUCCUCUGAGAGGCGUCACCUUUGGGGAGUUGCACACUGAUAGUGAGCAGAGACUGCAGACGUUAGAGGUCGAGUACAACGCUCGUCCUACCGUCAUGAGAGAGCAUGAUUGGGUGGAGAUGAAAAAAUCAAAAGACGCAGUAAAAAAAUUUCUGCAUGAUUUUGAGCUCCCAGAACCUCUCAGCCCACGCAAAGCUCUUUAUGGCGGUAGAACGAGCGCUUUGAAGUUGAGACACACAGCUGGGCCCGGUGAAACGGUGCACUAUGUGGACUUCACUUCUCUGUACCCCUAUGUAAAUAGCGCAUGUUCUUACCCCCUAGGUCACCCCACCAUCAUCUACAGAGAUUUUGGGGACCCCAGAGACUACUUUGGGUUAAUCAAGGCCACCGUCUACCCCCCUCGUGGUCUCUUUUUCCCUGUUUUACCAUACAAAAGUUUAGGAGGUAAAUUAACCUUUCCUCUCUGUCGCACCUGUGCAGAAACCAACAAUCAGAGUGGUACCUGUACACACUGUGAUGAGGAGAGAUCAUUGACGGGUGUGUGGGUCACUGUAGAGUUUAACAAGGCCCUGGAGGUAGGGUACAGAGUGGGUAAAAUUACUGAAGUGUGGCACUUUGACAAAAGUAGUAACUCUGUGUUUGCAGAUUACAUACAUGCUUUUUUAAAGGGUAAGCAGGAGGCUUCCGGCUACCCCUCUGAGGCGACUGAUCAGGAGAGCAGGGAAAAGUACAUCAGAGAUUACCAGAUCCAUCUGGGUAUUCUGCUAGAUGCGGGUAAGAUUGAGUCUAACCCCGUCAAGAGACAGGUUGCCAAACUAUGCCUCAACAGUCUUUGGGGAAAGUUUGCGCAGAGAGACAAUUUGUAUCGUACCUGCAUCGUCUCUGAUCCUGAAGAAUUUUUCAGCUACUUGUUUUCAGGGUUAUAUGAAGUUGACUACUUUAAUGUGCUUGCCGACAAGAAGGCUUUAAUGCGAUGGAGAUACUGCGAUAGCUGUGUACAUCCCCCCGGUAAGCAGAGUAACAUAUUUGUUGCAGCAUUCACCACAGCACAUGCACGCCUCAAACUGUACGAAUGUUUGGAGAAGUUGCAAGAGAGAGUUCUCUACAUUGACACAGACAGCUUAAUCUAUGUAGUGAAGGAGGGUGAGACGUCUCUGGAAGUGGGUAACUAUCUGGGUGAUUUGACCGAUGAAUUGGAUGGUGACAGUAUUCAGGAGUUUGUAGCAGCAGGCCCCAAGAGUUACGCCUACCAAACUAAAUCCAAGAGAAAGGUGGUUAUGCGCGUAAAAGGCAUUAGACAAACGCAGGAGUGUUGUGAGGUGGUAAACUUUGACAGCGUCAGAGAACUGGUGGAGGGGUACAUCCAAAAUUCAAGACAAGGUGUGAUUGAAGUACCGCAGCACACAAUCACUCGUGAUAAAAGAGGCUUUGUGUUAAAAAACUUGUCAUUCCGGAAAAAGUUUAGAGUGGUGUAUGACAAAAGGCGUCUCUUUGCUGACGGUACAACUCUACCUUUUGGUCAUUAA